rnacentral:tRNA from 1 species
AUUUGGAUAGUUUAAUAAAAAUUUUAUUUAGCGUUAUUUUACCUAUUGCAGCACAAUUGCACCUA